CCCGAAGACGUGAAAAUCAGCGAGCUUCCCGGCAGUGCUGCUAUUCUGGGAACAGAGGACGCACCGCACAUCUGACAAGGGAGCCGCUGCUCUAAGAAUAAAGCUGGGAGCUACCCACUUGAUGGACACAGCCUCCUUGGACAGAGACUUGGAGUCCUCCUCUGCCGUCUGGUUCCAGGACCUGGACUCUCCCUCUCCCCGAUCCCAAGUCCUUUACUUGGUGCGAUACAACAACUCCAGUCCAA